rnacentral:rRNA from 1 species
GACGAACGCUGGCGGCGUGCUUAACACAUGCAAGUCGAACGGUGAAGCGCCUUCCUUUUUGGUGGGUGUGGAUGAGUGGCGAACGGGUGAGUAACACGUGAGUAACCUGCCCCCUUCUUCUGGAUAACCGCAUGAAAGUGUGGCUAAUACGGGAUAUUCUGGGUCUGUCGCAUGAUGGGUCUGGGAAAGAUAUUGUUUCGGUGGGGGAUGGGCUCGCGGCCUAUCAGCUUGUUGGUGGGGUGAUGGCCUACCAAGGCGGUGACGGGUAGCCGGCCUGAGAGGAUGGACGGCCACGCUGGGACUGAGACACGGCCCAGACUCCUACGGGAGGCAGCAGGGGGGAAUAUUGCACAAUGGGCGCAAGCCUGAUGCAGCGACGCCGCGUGAGGGAUGGAGGCCUGCGGGUUGUGAACCUCUUUCGCCAGUGAAGCAGGCCUGCCUCGUUUGUGGGUGGGUUGACGGUAGCUGGAGAAGAAGCGCCGGCUAACUACGUG